rnacentral:rRNA from 1 species
CCUACGGGUGGCAGCAGUGGGGAAUAUUGCACAAUGGGGGAAACCCUGAUGCAGCGACGCCGCGUGGGCGAGGAAGUACCUCGGUAUGUAAAGCCCUAUCAGCAGGGAAGAAACAGGACAGUACCUGACUAAGAAGCCCCGGCGAACUACGGGCCAGCAGCCGCGGUAAUACGUAGGGGGCAAGCGUUAUCCGGAUUCACUGGGCGUAAAGGGAGCGCAGGCGGCAUGGCAAGUCUGAGGUGAAAACCCGGGGCCCAACCCCGGGAGUGCAUUGGAAACUGCCAGGCUGGAGUGCCGGAGGGGUAAGCGGAAUUCCUAGUGUAGCGGUGAAAUGCGUAGAUAUUAGGAGGAACACCAGGGGCGAAGGCGGCUUACUGGACGACUACUGACGCUGAGGCUCGAAAGCGUGGGGAGCAAACAGGAUUAGAUACCCGGGUAGUC